CAGCAGCCGUGUUGCCAGCUCGAAGUUUUGGUCUCCGGGCGUCACUUUUGGAUUGGGUGGUAUAAAGCAAUCCCGUUGGGGUGUAAAAAAGGUUCUGCGCGGGAUGAAGGUGGGAUAAUUUGACAACCCGUCUGGCGACAUUGGGUUUUACAAGGGUAACAGGAGGCCCUUGACGGAUGUUUGAACAAGUGUUUCGAUUUUCGUCUGGAUCCGUCAGACAAUGUAUGCUUUUGUAGGAAAAAAACAACAACGUCACAUUGUAUGCGUGGAGUUCGAUGUGCUGGCAGUCAGUCGGUGCCACACGGAAGUAAUUUCAGUUGAAUUUUAAAUACGGUUCGAGAAACAUAUAGCUUCUGACAGAGAUGGAUAUCGAUUGGUAUCAAACGUUAACGUUUUUGAUAAUGGCAAUGUUGUGGUAUCCGUUCAGGUUCCUUCUGAGAAAGUUUUGCUUGAAAUAAGACCAUUAUCACGCACUACCAUGUGGCUCCACGGCUCACUUGGAUGACCCAAUUCGGCCAGGUACACAACAUUCUCCCCGCUUCCUACGAGCUCUUCGACUGUACACAAAAUCUUGUUCCAAAAAUACUGUAAUCAAUAAAAUCGAAGUAAUCCUUUCCUCGCGAAACACAAAUAAAACCUGCUAAACCUUAA